CUACUGUGACCAGGCCUGCCAAAAGAUGCACUGGUUCACCCACAAGAAAGUCUGCAAGAAGCUCCAAGAGCAGAGAGAGAAACAAGAGGCAGAAUCAGCCAAGCUGAGGAUGCAGCAGAGCAAAGAGGACAGUCAGGCCGUGCAGGAGGCCACAGACUCCAUGCAGGAGCUCUCAGUGGAGACCAACAGUGAGGUCGCCUCAACCUCAAACGCCACGUCUAUCCCGGCUGCUGACAACUGAGGAGCAGUCAGCCAGCGGGAGACGUCCACACACCACCGACCCACUGGCAGUGAGACUGAAAGCCAGACGAGGAACUGGUCCAGCAGGAGAGAAUAUUUAUUAUUGGCCUGAGACUGUCACAGAGGUGGGAGACACUGACGCAUACGAGGGGAGCUUUGUGCCACAGCCAUCACCUUUUUUUCUCAUUUUUUCUGUUAAUUUUCCAGAUGAUGUCGUUGUAUGUGAAUGUAAAAGUUGCGUAGGCUGAUGUGUUUGUGGUAGAGGAACAUGUGAAGAAGGUUCACAUCAAUAAUGGAACAUGAUUCUGCCUUAAGAAACUGUAGCGACGUGUGGGGGAGACGUGACUGUGUAGCCAACCAGAGCUGUAGUUUGUUUGCAAUAUACUUGAUUUAUGAUUGGGGUGUUUUGUUUUUUGGGUUUUUUUUGUACUGAUAACGUCAUGGCAGACUGUGAGUGAACGGUUGGCUGCACAAUGUUGACCAAAAAUGUAUAUUUUUAAAUAUAAACACAAACAUGAAUUUAUUUUUAGUGUAUUAUGAAGAUGACAUUAAUGCUCAGGAUUUCCAAAACUGUAACUGAAUGAGUUUGUUUUCCGAAAUGCAACAUCAUUUGUUGAUCGAGCAUCGUCGUACACAGCACAAGAAUACCGUGACCAGUACAUUUGUUUUUAAAGUUUUAGCAGGAUGGUUUCGAUGUUUUUUCUUUUAUUGUGCAGCCUGAACGGACAGAGACGUGGUCCACGGAGACCUUGUUUGUCCCGAACUCUAAUCUACAAUAUGUCAAACAACUGGAGCAUCAUCAUAUUAAAUAAAGACCAACGUCAUCGAAGUGC